UCUAAAAAAAAUAAAGAGAAUCGGAAGAAACAACUGAUUAACCACGCGGCAGGCUCGAAGAGUUUUGCGCGAAUACGUGAGGAAGAGAGGAAAAGGGCCAAUGGGUCGGAUCUGAGCCGGGCAGAUAUGUUUAUCUUGACUCAUACAUGCAAAGAUGGGAAGCCUGUGGAUGAGGCCUCAUCAGUAGUAAUGACAAAACUCAAUGAAGAAAUAUCUCAGCAACCCAGGGCCUCACAGAGUAGCACGGCAAGAGAUAAUCUAUUAUCUCAAGUCAUGGGAGAAGACAAGUAUGGUCGUGUCCGCACUUAUGGGUUAGGACCAUCUCCAUCUGAUUUCUGGGUGCAACAUC